AGAAGAGACUAGAAUAACAAAUAUUCAAACAUGGGCCAUGUAGUAAAGACAUAUUUGUUUUGUGAUAUUUUUGUUCUAAUUACAGCUACGGGUAUGAAAUGAUUUAUAUAAACUGGAAAAAGCAGAGUCCUUCAACAGAAGGAAGAAGGGAAGAAUAGUGGGAAGGAAUGACUCCUUCUUAUGCGACCAGCAAAUUCAGCAGUAAAACCUAAUGAAAGAGAACCAGAUAGGAAGAACCACUAAAAGCACUAAAUGAAAACAAGAACUCGAGAGAUCUGUCAGAGAAACAAGAGGAUGUAAUGAAAAUUAACCAUAGAAGCCUACACCUUGUAAAGCUGGCCAGCCUAACAUAUAAUGGGAAUUAUCUAGUGUUCCACCAAGUCCCUGGGGCCCCAGGAAAGGGACCUAUGAAGAAAAUUCAGAAAAAAAGAAACUAAAUCAUUCAAGAGCUGUGAGGUUGAUAUAUGGGGCACAUUCCCAGAGUACAUGUGGCUUCGCUAAAUAAUGACUGAAUGAAGAUACAAUCAGUGUCUACAGGUUUAUGGAGAAUGUGAUCACUGAGGAGAGAAGAGGGAGACAGUUGUCCUGGAGGUGAUAGCAUCAUGGUCACUGCCUUUUCUUUGUUUCAUUUUUAAUAUGGGGUUCUGUGCUUUAUAUUUCUCUCGCUUGCUACAGAAACUAGUGCCAAUAUAUUUUUAAAAUCUUUUUUUAAACUAA